GGGGAUAUGGCGAAAUCGGUAGACGCUACGGACUUAAAAUCCGUCGACUUUAUAAGUUGUGAGGGUUCAAGUCAAGUCCCUCUAUCCCCAAUAAA
rnacentral:tRNA from 1 species